CCUACGGGAGGCAGCAGUGAGGAAUAUUGGUCAAUGGGCGAGAGCCUGAACCAGCCAAGUAGCGUGCGGGACGACGGCCCUAUGGGUUGUAAACCGCUUUUGCAGGGGAAUAAAUUGGCGGACGCGUCCGCCUUUGCAUGUACCCUGAGAAUAAGGACCGGCUAAUUCCGUGCCAGCAGCCGCGGUAAU
rnacentral:rRNA from 1 species